CACACCGUGUGUAAGAUGGUGAGAUGGUUUCGCAUUGGUCAGCAUGACCUUAGGGACAUAAGCCAUGGGGAGUUCAGUGGAAUUCUGGGAAUGAGGGUAUCGGACCUUCCAUAAUCCAGAGAGAAACCCAAGAGUCCCUUUGUCGAGGUUUUAAGAGCAGGGGUGGUGGGGUAGGGUGAACACUGAGUCAGGCCCUAGAAACCGUCUCAGCAGCUCCCUCUACGUUCCCUUCUCCGAUGCUCAUGGUAGAAAGUACCUCAUUAGGGUGAUGGCGGGGGAUUGUUGAAUGACACAAUGGCAAGGCUAAAGCAAUCAAAGUAUUCUUUGUCUGGGCUGGACUCAUGCUGUGUUGGCCAGCCUGCGACAAAACUAAGCAAUCUCCAGAGACAGCAGGACCAGCACAGCUUGGCGUUGUCUCUCUGUCUCCACUGACAAGGAGUCACUCUGUUGCCCCUGUUCUUCCGGGGCCAUUGUGCCAUCGUGCUCUAUUGUGAUGCCACAUGAGGAAGGCCUGGAGCCCUUACUUUAGGGAUAGAGAGGAGCUGUGUGUUCCCCACCAAGCAGCAGAAUCCUGAAUGUGGGAGUGAAACCUCCAAGAACAAUAUCACCAGAUAAAUGCCAUUGUCAUGCUAGACAUCCUGGGAAAUUCCAGUGCAAAGCGAGCUAAACUUUAGAAAGACCUAGGAUUACAAAUCCCACUGUUACUGUGGACCAACCGAAAGUAUACCCGGAUACAACUAGAACUUCAAAAGUUGGUUUCAGAAUGCCUCCCAUCAAUCUGAGAGCCCGCAGGCGGCCCCUUCAUGAAAAUGCACGGGAUCUCUGAGGUGUGGUUUCCAGAACAGCGCUCUUCACAGAAGUCUUCCUGCCUGGAGAGCCAUGGCUGAGUGCAGUCGCCAAGUCUUGCUCAGGACUGUGAGAUGCAUUCAGCCCUGUGAGGAAAGAGACAGCCCUGAGAGGCUAGGGGUGGAGCUGGCCAAGGCGUCUUAUGGCCUGUGUGCGUGGAGGUCAGAGGUACCUGGCCCUGCAGGAUGCCUGCUUGCUUCCCCAGGUCAGAGAAGUCCGAUGGAAGCUGCACCUGCGACCUUCUCCACCUGGUGUUUCCAGAGGGGAGCAGGUGAAGAGAGCGAUCCAAAGGUAAAGACGCUGGGGAUUUCACCUCCAUCCUGCCUCUUCCAGCAGCUUUGCAACCUCUCCCAGCUGCGUCCUUUGGCCCCGUGGGAAGAGCCUACUCCAGGCCCUUUGUGCCACACCUGGACCAGAGCAAUCUUCCAAAGAUGGUGCCCCGGGGUCUGUCUCCAUCACGUUCACAGAGUGGCCCCCAAGCGGGUUGCUAUGAUUAUAGCACUGACUUGGCCCCCCUGGGAUCAGGAGGAAUGGAGCCUGCCAAGGUGUCGGCGAUCGCGAGAGAGGACAGCAGACAUGACGGGACACCUCUCAGAGGGCCGCCAGGACGGAGGACGAAGCAGAGACUGCAAAUGCUGUGUUGCAGAAAAAGAAAUCGGAAUUAAAGAGAAAUGGAAGAAGUUCAAGCAAAAACCUCUCCAAAAAAAGAAAAAAAUAAACAAAAAUGUUGUGAAGACGUUCUAGCACUCCCGACAAAGCACAUCGAUAAAGGUGGCUCAAAUCCUGGCCAGUGGGGAGGUCGUGCGGGAUCGCUGGUGUCCAGUGAAUGCCCUCUAGGCGACAAGCACCCUUUUGGCGACCAGGAAGGGGGAUGAUGGAAAGUACCCGUCGUGGAGCUAGCCUGCCUGGAGGACGCACAGUGAUAUCGGAGAAUGGGCACACUCUACACCGUGCCUGGAGAUCCUUUUCAGGAAAACCAAGUCAGGUCCUGCUGAGAAGAGACGGGCUAAGCACCCCGGCACGUGGCUCGCGGACAGCUCAGUUCGUAGCAGUCAGAUCGUAUGUCUGCCAAAAGUUAAAAUUAAAGGC